rnacentral:rRNA from 1 species
CGGUGAAGCCAAGCUUGCUUGGUGGAUCAGUGGCGAACGGGUGAGUAACACGUGAGCAACCUGCCCUGGACUCUGGGAUAAGCGCUGGAAACGGUGUCUAAUACUGGAUAUGAGCUCUCAUCGCAUGGUGGGGGUUGGAAAGAUUUUUCGGUCUGGGAUGGGCUCGCGGCCUAUCAGCUUGUUGGUGAGGUAAUGGCUCACCAAGGCGUCGACGGGUAGCCGGCCUGAGAGGGUGACCGGCCACACUGGGACUGAGACACGGCCCAGACUCCUACGGGAGGCAGCAGUGGGGAAUAUUGCACAAUGGGCGGAAGCCUGAUGCAGCAACGCCGCGUGAGGGAUGACGGCCUUCGGGUUGUAAACCUCUUUUAGCAGGGAAGAAGCGAGAGUGACGGUACCUGCAGAAAAAGCGCCGGCUAACUACGUGCCAGCAGCCGCGGUAAUACGUAGGGCGCAAGCGUUAUCCGGAAUUAUUGGGCGUAAAGAGCUCGUAGGCGGUUUGUCGCGUCUGCUGUGAAAUCCCGAGGCUCAACCUCGGGCCUGCAGUGGGUACGGGCAGACUAGAGUGCGGUAGGGGAGAUUGGAAUUCCUGGUGUAGCGGUGGAAUGCGCAGAUAUCAGGAGGAACACCGAUGGCGAAGGCAGAUCUCUGGGCCGUAACUGACGCUGAGGAGCGAAAGGGUGGGGAGCAAACAGGCUUAGAUACCCUGGUAGUCCACCCCGUAAACGUUGGGAACUAGUUGUGGGGAC